rnacentral:rRNA from 1 species
AUGACCGAUAGCGGAAUAGUACCGUGAGGGAAUGGUGAAAAGUACCCCGGGAGGGGAGUGAAAUAGUUCCUGAAACCAUGUGCUUACAAUCCGUCAGAGCACCUUUGUGUGUGUGAUGGCGUGCCUUUUGAAGAAUGAGCCUGCGAGUCAGCGGCAUGUCGCGAGGUUAACCCGUGUGGGGUAGUCGUAGCGAAAGCGAAUCCUAAUUGGGUGUUGUAAGU